rnacentral:tmRNA from 1 species
AGAAAAGGGCAUAUCUGGUGGAGACCCUCAGUAGUAAUAAAUAGCCAAGCACAAUGGUGACAUGUUUGAAAAAUUUGUUUCUUUACUGUAUCUUUGUGUCCAUGAUGGUGUGGUUGGUGCAUGGGGUAGGCGAUCGUGAUAGUAAGGGCGAGGGGGCCACAAUAAAGGUUAAAAGAAAUGAUAAUGGCGUCAUUUCAGUCUAUAUUGAUGGAAAAGAUUAUGCAUACAUUUUUAACGUGACCAAGGCUUUGCAAGAUCUUGGGAGGGAUCCUAUAAGACAAAUUUGGCGCCAUUCUGAUGUCUUUAAGCCACUGACAAGGACUUUGGCAGAAAGGGAUUCCAUAUUUGUAACCAAUGAUACAAUACACAUAGAUUCAGACAGUCUGUUUGUCUGCCCGGUUGGUAGGGGCUAUCCCACCAUUACCAGCCAGGUUCAGUGGAAAGACCUUCCCCCUGGCUAUCUUGGCAAAUUUGGGUGGCAAAAGAAUAUGGCCCUGAAGGAAUUUAAUGAAAAUGAAAGAUUUACCAUGUUUUCAGAGAAUGAGCGGGAGAAGACACUGGUGGUGGGGAAAGAUAAAUAUGUGGAAUAUGGAAGCCUGACCUGGAUGAUGCCUGAAUGGGGCGGGACCUAUGGAGUUGUGACUAAUAGUUUUGCCUUUGUCUCUGUCAACAUAACUGUGGAGUCCCAAGUUUGUUCUGCGUCCAUAAUUUUUUCCCAUAAUAAAGGUGGACCAAGUUUCAAAGGAUCAAUUGUGCCUGAAAAAAUUCUCAUUGGUAAAACUGAUUUAUAUAGCAUGUAUUUUAUAGCCUUCAACACCAAGCCUGUCUGUCAAACGGAUAUCAUAACUGGGAUUGAACUCCAGAACCUGUUUGUUCAAAUGGUUACAGAGUUACCAGAGAAUAUAAUGGCGGAUAUUGCCAAUGAUGUGGCCUAUUUCUCUGCUGUUAAUUGCCAUCCCUUGAAGAUUCCUGUUCCCAGGCUUAUAAGGACAUUUACAAAACUGACAAUUUCUCAUUUUCUGACAAUAUCAGGCAUUGUGGCCACCAAAACAGAUACAGUAGACGUUGGUUGCCUGAUUCAGCAGCUAGCGGACCUCAGGUACUUGAGAGAAUCCCUCAGUGCUUGCAGUAUGGCCUACUCUCCUCACAUGUUUACAUCUAAUUUCCUGAAGUUUCUGUCAGGGGUGCAGAUAGAAAGGCUGCCAAAAGCCACCCAGAUCCCUCAGGCGGAUAUGUCAAGAGCCAUGGCGAUGCUAAGGUUUGGAAUCACCAACUACAACGUCUCCGCCCACGCCUUCACAUUCAUGGAGGAAAUGUUUGAGAACAUCUAUAGGGAAUAUUCAUAUGUCUAUUCUCUAACAUCAGAAACCAGGAAGGCAAUGAUGGGCGUGAGCGAAACCUUAAAACACGUUGCCAAGCUCUGGAAGUUCACAACUAAGGACUUGAUAAAAUUGUUCACCAUAGCUACGUCCAUGUGUACAAAUAAUGAAAUUAGUACCAUGGUUGAAAGACACGCCCCCCUUUGGGACAUCGAUGCAGUGGAAACUUUCUCUCCCUGCUAUCUGAGUCUCAGAUUUGACUUUAGUGCCAAUAAGAUAAAUUUUGAGGUGGAGCAGACUAGUCAGCUCACGCCCAAGAGGACUUCUGGGGGUGUGUCUGGCUUUCUCACAGACCUUCACAACCAUCAUCUGGACCUGGUGGCAACGCUGCCUUUUGUAAAGUGUUUGUCUCAUGUUAUCAACAACACUGAUGUGAUACUGCCACUGGAAAAAAUAACAUAUAUCAUCAGCAAGGAAGCUGUACCGGGGGUGACAGUGUAUGAUGUAGCUGAGACCUUUCUAGAGAGUAAGUUGGUGAUAUCUGUGUUCACGGACGAAUGUCAGCCAGCCCUGCAAGACACGGAUGUGCACAGAACUGUUCCAGUAAUUUAUAAUAUCAGUGAUAGCAGAUGUCAAUUUUGUGGUUCGAUCAUCAUGAGUUAUGAUGAAUCACAGGGAUUUCUGGCAGCUAUGUAUGUGUCAGACAAAACCAUCCAGACAAAUUUGUUUCUCCCAGAAUCACCCUUUUUUGAUAAUCACAAUACCCACGUGCACUAUCUUUGGCUCAUGAGCAAUGGAUCUGUUGUGGAACUUAGAGGAAAAUACAGGAGGCAAAUUCAGAGUGUCUUUAUUUUAUUUGCUGUCAUUUCUCUGCUCUGCUUCCUCUGUUUUCUGGUAUUGCAGAUAAUAAAGUACAUUUUUCAUUAAAG